rnacentral:tRNA from 2 species
GCCGAGGUGGUGAAAUUGGUAGACACGCCGGACUCAAAAUCCGGUUGGGGUAACACUCAGUGUGGGUUCGAGUCCCACCCUCGGUA